AUUUAAUAAAUAUUUGUGAUGUCCAUGUUUUGUUUUUGUUUUUUUUACUUUGGGGGAAGAGAGAGCGGUGAAUUUUGAACCCUGAACCUUAUGAUUUAUAGGCAGGAAUUUGCAUCGCUUGAUAUCCUUGUUUUUGUUUGUAUCCCCAUUUGAGGGGUAGGGGAAGUUGACUUCACAUGUCUAUAAUUUUGUCAAAUUAUAAAUCAUUCACAUCGGUGAGGCUCAUCAGACUCAAGUCAGCCACGGUGAUGAGCCUCCCAA
rnacentral:lncRNA from 1 species